GACGAACGCUGGCGGCGUGCUUAACACAUGCAAGUCGAACGGAAAGGCCCUGCUUUUGUGGGGUGCUCGAGUGGCGAACGGGUGAGUAACACGUGAGUAACCUGCCCUUGACUUUGGGAUAACUUCAGGAAACUGGGGCUAAUACCGGAUAGGAGCUCCUGCUGCAUGGUGGGGGUUGGAAAGUUUCGGCGGUUGGGGAUGGACUCGCGGCUUAUCAGCUUGUUGGUGGGGUAGUGGCUUACCAAGGCUUUGACGGGUAGCCGGCCUGAGAGGGUGACCGGCGAUAUUGGGACUUAGAGACGGCCCAGGCUCCUACGGGUGGAAGCAGGGGGGAAGAUUGCACAAGGGGCGGAAGCCUGAUGCAGCAGCGCCGCGGGCGGUAUGACGGCCUUCGGGUGGAAAACCGCUUUCGCCUGUGACGAAGCGUGAGUGACGGUAAUGGGUAAAGAAGCACCGGCUAACUACGUGC
rnacentral:rRNA from 1 species